UCCUCCGUAAUUUAGUGGUAUGAAUGCCCGACUGUCACUCGAGAGAGCGGGGUUCGCUUCCCCUCCAAGGAA
rnacentral:tRNA from 1 species